rnacentral:lncRNA from 1 species
CACAAUCACUUGCUAUUGAAACGGGGUGAUACACAGUUUUUUACAUAAAGCACUAGCAACUGAAAGUUUCUGUAAAUUUUGCGGAGAUAACGCAGAAUAUUGUGCGCAAUUCCUUUUAUAAUGUCCCCAAUAUAAAAACCUUCGGGAGAAUUCAUGUUUGAGUUUUCAAAAAUUGGUUAAAGUAAAUGUUAUCAAAUCAGUAUCAUAUGUAAUUAAUCAAAAUAAAAUGGCUGAUGCCAACCAAAUUUGUAAAUAUAUAAGACAAGCAUU